rnacentral:rRNA from 1 species
CCUGAUCCAGCCAUGCCGCGUGAGUGAAGAAGGCCUUCGGGUUGUAAAGCUCUUUCAGCCGGAACGAAACGGUCACGGCUAAUACCCGUGAUCACUGACGGUACCGGAAGAAGAAGCACCGGCUAACUACGUGCCAGCAGCCGCGGUAAUA